rnacentral:rRNA from 1 species
ACUGCUAUCGGGGUUCGACUAAGCCAUGCUAGUCGAGAGGGGUAAAGCCCUCGGCGAACUGCUCAGUAACACGUGGAUAACCUGACCUAGGGAGGGGGAUAACCCCGGGAAACUGGGGAUAAUACCCCAUAGGCUACGGAGGCUGGAAUGCCCUGUAACCCAAAGCUCCGGCGCCCUAGGAUGGGUCUGCGGCCGAUUAGGUUGUUGUUGGGGUAACGGCCCAACAAGCCGAUCAUCGGUACGGGUUGUGGGAGCAAGAGCCCGGAGAUGGAUUCUGAGACAUGAAUCCAGGCCCUACGGGGCGCAGCAGGCGCGAAAACUUUACAAUGCGGGAAACCGUGAUAAGGGGACCCCGAGUGCCUGUACACGCAGGCUGUUCAGGUGUUUAAAACGCAUCUGGAGAAAGGGCCGGGCAAGACCGGUGCCAGCCGCCGCGGUAAUACCGGCGGCUCGAGUGGUGGCCACUAUUACUGGGCUUAAAGCGUCCGUAGCCGGGUUGUUAA